AAGCGACCAAGCGUACACGGUGGAUGCCCUGGCAGUCAGAGGCGAUGAAGGACGUGCUAAUCUGCGAAAAGCGCCGGUAAGGUGAUAUGAACCGUUAUAACCGGCGAUGUCCGAAUGGGGAAACCCAGUGUGACUCGUCACACUAUCAUUAACUGAAUCCAUAGGUUAAUGAGGCGAACCGGGGGAACUGAAACAUCUAAGUACCCCGAGGAAAAGAAAUCAACCGAGAUUCCCCCAGUAGCGGCGAGCGAACGGGGAGGAGCCCAGAGCCUGAAUCAGCAUGUGUGUUAGUGGAAGCGUCUGGAAAGGCGCGCGAUACAGGGUGAGAGCCCCGUACACAAAAGCGCACAUGCUGUGAGCUCGAUGAGUAGGGCGGGACACGUGGUAUCCUGUCUGAAUAUGGGGGGACCAUCCUCCAAGGCUAAAUACUCCUGACUGACCGAUAGUGAACCAGUACCGUGAGGGAAAGGCGAAAAGAACCCCGGCGAGGGGAGUGAAACAGAACCUGAAACCGUG
rnacentral:rRNA from 5 species